CUUGACCUCGGAUCAGGUAGGGAUACCCGCUGAACUUAAGCAUAUCAAUAAGCGGAGGAAAAGAAACCAACAGGGAUUGCCCUAGUAACGGCGAGUGAAGCGGCAACAGCUCAAAUUUGAAAUCUGGCGUCUUUGGCGUCCGAGUUGUAAUUUGCAGAGGGCGCUUUGGCAUUGGCAGCGGUCCAAGUUCCUUGGAACAGGACGUCACAGAGGGUGAGAAUCCCGUACGUGGUCGCUAGCCUUUACCGUGUAAAGCCCCUUCGACGAGUCGAGUUGUUUGGGAAUGCAGCUCUAAAUGGGAGGUAAAUUUCUUCUAAAGCUAAAUACUGGCCAGAGACCGAUAGCGCACAAGUAGAGUGAUCGAAAGAUGAAAAGCACUUUGGAAAGAGAGUUAAAAAGCACGUGAAAUUGUUGAAANGGAAGCGCUUGCAGCCAGACUUGCUGUAGUUGCUCAUCCGGGGUUCUACCCG
rnacentral:rRNA from 1 species